UACGGGGGGGGCAAGCGUUGUUCGGAAUUACUGGGCGUAAAGGGCGCGUAGGCGGUGCUCUAAGUUAGAUGUGAAAACUCUGGGCUCAACCCAGAGCCUGCAUCUAAAACUGGAGUGCUAGAGUUCUGGAGGGGGUAGCGGAAUUCCUGGUGUAGCGGUGAAAUGCGUAGAUAUCAGGAGGAACACCGGUGGCGAAGGCGGCUACCUGGACAGAAACUGACGCUGAGGCGCGAAAGCGUGGGGAGCAAACAGG
rnacentral:rRNA from 1 species